rnacentral:lncRNA from 1 species
UACACUAAUACCAUUUUAACAAGUUUUUUACAUAAUCUUUCCUUUGUCUUGUGAAGAAAUAACUCACAAACCCAUGCCUUAUAAAUUUUGCCCUGCCCUCAACCCAUUGCAGCUCUUCACUGCCCAUGGGCCCUGUCCCCACACUAUUCUCUGAAUAAAGGGGCACUGCUACCAGACCUUGAGAGUCCAAGAAACCUUUCUUUCAACUCCUCAGCUUGCCCAGCCCACAUCAUUUCUUCUGGUGGCCCGAACAGGGAUCUUGCUUCAUCGGCUUAUGGGCUUAAGUUCUGGACACAGUUGGAAACAUUAGUUGUAUUACAAAGGCUUUGACUGGAAUGUCAUAUCUGAGAGAAACAUACAGGCUCAGAGAUGACAAGACAGCUUCUCAGGAACAAAGAUUGAGCUUUAUGGAAUAAAGCCCCUUGGAAAUAUUGGCUUGGUAUCUUGUUCACAGAGAUUCCAGCAAUCUUACCUGUUUCACCUCCUGGACCACUUCUCAUCAAAUGAUUCUCGUCUCCAGAGGAUCUGUAUACCUUGUCAGCCUUGGACUCCAUGGGUGCAACCUUCCGGUGCACUGAACUUCCUGCCUAUACCCCUAUGGCCCAAUUUAGGGACAGCUCUACGACCUUGUACAGAUGAAAGUAGUUACAGAAGAUUGACCAUCGUCCAUAUCCCCAAAAGAUUUUGGGGCCAAAUAGGUUCGGGGGGGUGGUUUAUGAUGAGAAUCAAGGCUGCCCCAGGGAGAGAAGCACAAGGUGUCCUGCCCCACAUACUGAUCUAUAUCAUCCUCUGGGAAGCAUAGGACGUCCUGACCUGAUCUGAUCUGAUUCUCGUGUAAAGUUAUAGGACCACCCAAUAACCAGACCCCACCUACACUGAUACCAUUUUAACAAGUUUUUUACAUAAUCUUUCCUUUGUCUUGUGAAGAAAUAAUUCACAUACCUAUGCCUCAGAUUUAGCCCUGCCCUCAACCCAUUGCAGCUCUCACUGCCCAUGGGUCCUGUCCCCAUGCUGCAGCUCUUCACUACCCACCGCUCCUGUCCCCAUGCUAUUCUCUGAAUAAAGGAGCACUACUACCAGACCUUGAGAGUCCAAGAAAUCUUUCUUUCAACUCCUCGGCUCACUGAGCCUGCAUCACAUAAAAUCUUUGUCCUCCCAAGAUCUCAGUCCAGGGAGAGAGAGAGAAAGAGAA